rnacentral:misc_RNA from 1 species
UGAAUAAUGACACAUCAUUAAGCGCUCAGAAUGGCAAAAUAUGUCAGUAAGGUACGAAUAACCGAUUUUGGUGAUUAGAAUUAACAGGCCUCGAAUAAAUGGAGAAAAAUUAAAAUGACUAUAGCUUCGAAACAAUUACAAAAAAAGGAAACAUCCAAGCCAAAGAGUGGUGAAGUGGCAACCGUGUUACAUAUCCAUACUACGAGUACAUACAUUUGAACGUGCAUGAAUGGAUAUAUAUAGCAGACAUGGUUAAUCGUGUCCAUUUCGAUGUGUGAUACUUUCGUUACAGAGCUGACAAUCACCCAAUCUGCACUUGAAGAACUGUGCAGUUUUGGUGAAGCUCUGAGUAAUUAAAAAGUAAAAAAUGCAAUAUCUUCAAUAUUUACUGCCAUAGGUUUAUAUAGUUCUACACUUACAUCACAUUUCCUUUGGAGGUUGUCUGUAUCUGUGUGCAUAAGGCGUUGUUGCAAUCACUGCCGUCACCUGCUACAAAAAUAUGAUCUCACAAAAUUGCAAUGAAAUCGAUCGCCAUAUUCAUUACCAUGCCAAUCACACAACAACGCCCACAUCGCAAAUUAGUGGCAUUGGUAGCUGUAUCAACAGCAGCAGUCGACGUAUCUUGAAUAACAACCAUAUAUGCGGAGCGCGUUGUCGCUCGUUGUUAAGCUAUCAGCAGCAUCAGUUACAAAUAGUAAGUAGUACUAACGUUAUAAGUGUGAGUUGCUGUAGUGAUACUGGGUCAUCUGGGGAAAGAUAUAGUCCACAUCCGAAUGAAAUGUUUCUGAAGCAUCACGGCAAAUUAUCAACCCAACAAAGAAGCGGUUAUGAUGAUACCACGAAAUGUUGUUUGCCGCCGCCAUCGCCAGCGCCAAUUAGUGACCGAUAUAUAAUAGGCGUGACGUCACCACAGAAUGACAAAAUUUGUGACGCACUGAGUAAUGUUAGCCGCCUGGAUAUACAUACGGCAUAUUCCAACUAUGAUGGUGGCGACAAUAGCACCGUAAAUGGCAGUGUACACCCGCUACAAGGAAACGUUCAACAACAACAACAGCAUCAUCAACAUAUUAAUCUUUCUGCACCACCACCCUCAUCGUCUACGUUAACAUUACCACAGGUUUCAGGAAAUUUUGUCCCUAAUUUAACGCAAAAAUACGUCAGUAGCAUGCAACAGUGCUCCAUAUCGGCGAAUUCGCGAUUUCGAUUAUCCGAUGGACAUCGCGAGGUGCCUUCUCCUAAAUCGAUGACAUUAAAAAGCUCACCAAGUACGGGCAACCAUAACGUCUUCGCGACAGUACCAGCCGCAGCACUUUCACAGCCGCAGCCUUCCAACACUACACGAUACGUCUCUUCAGCACAUUUUUUGACAGAGAACACUCCAAUGGUGACGAGCGACACUUACACAUACCUUUCAUCGACUGUGCAUACGCCGGUUAAACGCUACGUACCGACCCCGCCGCCACAAAAUGAGCUAUACGCUGACAUAUCGAUGCAAGCGUCUACACAUGUGUCACAGUUACAAAUGAACAAAUGCGCCAAUAGCACAGGUGCAGCAAGCGGAGGUAAUCGGCAUGGUCCAACUCAACAUCUAAAUAUGCUUCCCUACCGCUUCCACAUGAAAUGCUGCUCUAACUAUUUGACGAAUUCACCUGUAAUUCAAACAACCGAUACAAAUACCAUGACAUCAUGCGUCAUCGAACAUCGACCAAUCUCCGUAGUCGAAUAUUACGCCACAUCUCCGCGAACGCAAUCAACGUACGGCAACAAUAAUCACGUUCAUAACAUUCACAGCAGAGCCCUUAAGAAUGUGUGCACAAGUUACGACAACAGUAAUAUUAUGACUAAUGAUAUGGGCAGUACGAAAUCCACCGCAAUAAUUUUAUUGCACGACCAACAAAUGCAAACUGCUAGUCAUGCGACAACGAUGUCUAAGCUACAUGCCAUUUCAUCUUGCCAAGCGGCAAAGACCUCCACGCCGUGCUCUUCGGCGCUAUCUGGGGCAUCAGGAGGUUCUACUAUAAUAUCCACAAGAUCGUCUACAGCGUCAUCUCUCGCUGUUGGUGGCAGUAAUUGUAGCAAUAUGUAUGUAGUAAGCGGUGGGCGUUUAGCAGGAAGCGGGGUCGGACGCACUAUUAACUCAAAUGUGAUAAGCGACUACUUUCAUCGCGCGCCAAGUAUAGAAUACAUAAACGCAUCUACUACGGCAAUGCCAAAUAGCGUGCGGAUUUGUGCCACUCCCGUCAAUCAAUUCGAGGUUAUUGGCGAUGGUGGUAAUGGUGGUAAUCUAAGUUCUGGAGAAAGUGCAGCUACAACUUGUCUGCAUUGCAACACGGUGCGACGUACAACCGGAGUUCAUCAAACCACACAAACAACGGGUCCAAUCAGUCCUUUACCCAUACAGCAGGUUAUGGAGGUCGGUGGUGCAAGUGGCGUUGCACUAAGCAGUUGUGGCAGUUUUUUACAAAGCGCACUCGAUCAAGCACCGCUGACACCAUCUACCAGCAAAUCGCACAUCUCCCCAUUAUUACCAUCAACAGCAGCGCAAAACACACGUAUAUUGUUUCCCAGUAAAGUGGAGGGAGUCGCCAGUAAUGCAGUAAUUGUAGAUCAACUACAAUUACAGCAACCGGGUGAAAAACUGUAUGUUACGCAGAAGACCCAGCAGCAUUCUAAGAAUGUGAUAACACAGGGCACAAUUACUGAACAUAUGGACGUUUUUGGUAGCGGGUGCAAUCAGCAGCAACUACAGCAAACUCCGGACAACAACCGGCAAUUAGUGCAAUAUUCUUCUCCGCAGCUGCAACAACAGUCACCAGCGCAACAACUAACCAUACAAAAACAGCAAAAAAUUCAAAUUUUCUCACGAAAAAAACGUUUUAGUCGGUAUAUCCGCAAAGAAAUAGCACGAUUCUUUGGUGUACACGUCAGUACGGAAGCUGAAGAGUUUGCUAUUUGGCAAAGCCGUCAGCGACGAUUAGCUCUUCGCCGUUUCGGUGCAUUGAAACCAGACGUUCAAUUGCAAGUCGAAUUGAACAACGGCAAUUCCGGUGAUAUAAAUAACCGUGUUAAUUGCCAUGGUGGACCUGGUAAUGUGGGUACUAACCAACAUUAUCAUCAUCCCCCAUCAGAACGCCCUGAUAUAUUGCCCGCUCAGGAUACAGAGGAGGACGAUUCAUCAAUCGAAUACUUGGCACGUCAACGUCAUUUUUUAUAUGUUGUAGGCGAUCAUGUCGAGAGAAAAGCUAGUGUAGCUAGAAUGAUUAUGUCGAGCUUAACGUUCAUCGUACACACUCUAAGUAGUCGCCAGCCUCGUAGCUAUAGGCAGUGGUCACGCAGCUUUGCACCCGCUCAUGUGAAUCACAUCAAUAAUAUGGAAAAUUCGGGCGACAUUUCUGAGGGAUUAUCAGCACUGCAAGAAGACGAAGUAUUUUUCGACUCUGCAGGCACAGAUCAUACACCCAGUUCCAGUAUUAAUAAUACUGGGAAUAUUGCAGCUGGUGGGAUUUCACAGCACAGUAAUGCUUUAAGAUCUGGAAUUGGAGUCGGAAGAGGUCCUAUAGUUCCCAGCAACAUCGGAUUGAAGAUGGUAGAACAUCAUAGACAAAUAUACGUGGGUGAGCGCAUUCACGGUUGGCGUACUUCAGCUGUAAUAGGCGGUGUCAUCAACGGCACUCACGUCAGCGCAAGCGAACAAGUGGCUGCCACUGCUUUAUUACAAACAAAUAACAAUAGCAAUGGCGGAGGACAACAAACAAGUAAUUCCUGUGGUGCCAGCAGCUCAUAUCAACACAAGAAAGCGGCGCUAACAAAUCAUAUUGUCGCACCCACAUCCUCACUGUCAAACGUACAAUUGUCACACGGAACACGUGGCAAACGCAUAUCAGCGCAACUGCUUGAUGGGGUACUUGAAAAUUCGCGUCGCCCACUACAACGCAAAAUAAAAAACCUUUCAAUUAACGAUCUGGAUGACCGCAGCGAUCACCGACCAUUUUUUACUUACUGGAUCAACACGGUGCAGAUAUUAGUGCUGUUGUUGUCGCUUUUUUGUUACGGUAUUGGACCCAUAGGAAUCGGUGUCGAGCAAAAAACUGGACAGGUGCUAGUAACCAGUCUUAGUUUACAAACGGUACAGCACUCUGAACAACGAAAUGUGUGGAUCGGGCCUAGAAAUAACGAUUUAGUACAUAUGGGUGCAAAAUUUGCUACCUGUAUGCGAAGCGACAUACGUAUUAUGGAUGUGAUGCUAAAGACGCGACGACAGGAACGCGAAUCAGCUUGCUGCAUACGUAAUGAUGAUUCAGGUUGUGUUCAAAGCUCACAAGCAGAAUGUUCGGUGCGUGGACUAUUUCCAACUAAAUCUAUAUCAACGUGGAAGAAGUGGUCACCAGGUGAGUCCGGGCCAGGUGGCCGAAUCUCUGGUUCUGUUUGUGGUCUGGACCCAAAAUACUGUGAUGCACCAGCAUCUAUAGCACCCUACGAAUGGCCAGACGAUAUAACAAAAUGGCCUAUUUGUCGCAAAACUAAUUCCUUCUCGCACCGUUUUCGAUACAAAGAUCAUACAGCGGAGCAUAUGGUAUGUGAAGUGAUAGGUCAUCCGUGCUGUACCGGAGUCUACGGUGAAUGUCGUAUUACAACACGCGAGUACUGUGAUUUUGUCAAAGGUUACUUUCACGAGGAAGCAUCGCUGUGUUCCCAGAUCUCUUGCUUGAACAACGUAUGUGGCAUGCUCCCGUUUAUAUCUGUGGAGGUUCCUGACCAAUUUUAUCGUCUAUUCACAUCCCUCUGCCUGCACGCCGGAAUUAUACAUUUGGCCAUAACUAUCGCCUUUCAGCACUUUUUUCUGGCUGAUCUAGAGCGUUUAAUUGGUCCAUUGCGCACAGCUAUUGUAUAUAUUGGCUCGGGUUUGGCUGGUAAUUUGAUCAGCGCCGUAUUAGUGCCGUACAAGCCAGAAGUUGGACCAUUGGCAUCAUUGUCCGGUGUGAUUGCGUCGCUGGUAGUUUUGCUCAUAUUGAUUCACUGGAAGCACUUGCGAAAACCUCACCUUGCCCUUUUCAAACUGACCUGCAUAGCAGCGCUACUUUUUGGUAUUGGCACACUUCCUUGGCAGUUGAACUUUGCGGGCCUCUUGGCGGGCAUAUUUUGCGGUGUCUUUUUGACCAUCGCAUUUGUGCCAUUUGUCAGCAUUACAAAAUAUGGAAGGAAAGCAAAGAUAAAUCUUAUUUGGUCCUGCGUCAUCUUCCAUUUGUUUAUGUAUUCAGUAUUAUUGAUGACUUUCUACAUAUUUCCAACGGAAGUCGCAGCGCUAAAUGUGGGUGGAGUUUUGAGCACAAAUUUCAAUUCGAAUUCGAGUGGCAGCGGCAAUGUUGCGGACAGCGUAAGUUUUGACGUUGGGGUCGGAGGCAUCGAACUUGGCAGUAGUCAUUUGUCUGACAUUAGUAACGUGCCUGCAAAUAUCAACAAUGAAAUGGGCAGAAAUAUAAAUGGCGAUGUAAAAAGUAAUCGUUUUCCAUCGAUGCAACAGAAACAACAGUACUACUAUCGCCAUCGUUCCAGUGACAUUAUAACAAGUGGAGCGCUUUUACCAAAAGAACCUUUACAAACGCAGGGAGAACAGGACCACGAUAUGGCGUUUUAUCAUUAUACUUACAAUAUUAAUCGUAGCAAUAAUCAAAUUAAUGGAAAAUUUAAGAAUAAUCGCAGUAGUAACAGAAGUACCAGUUUUGCGAAUUAUUACUACCAAGAUAGCAUCAAAAACUAUACAAACAGAAACAGCAGCAAACCACACAAUAAUGUAGAUGACAACAAAAAGGAAGACAUAGGUACCGAAGCGGAUGGCAGUAGUAAUAGCAACAACAGAACCUUAAAUUCAUACAGCAUUAACAAUAGCCUCACAGCCAAAAAUACUAAUGUCGCAAGAGAAAGUGGCAACGGUACUAAUAACGAUGUAGCUGAUGUAAGGGCAAGAGCUGCGAAAUGGUCGGCGGCACUGCAUUUGUCCAACAAAAAAUUCAACCAAAUAAACUUUGGAAUACAAGCUAGUAAUCUCAGUUUCGCAAGAGUUAGUGGCGAAAGCAGAAGGAAUCGGAGCAGAAGCUCCAGUUUCGAAAGCCAACAGUUGAUACAGCAACAGCAACAUCCGGAAAUUUUACAUUCAUAUUGCAAAUAUGGAGGAUCCAAUGUAAAAGUUACUGACACGAGCUCGCACUCCACCAAUGAGCAUACAAAAUUUUCCGAAAUCUUAAGCUCGAUAAAUGGCAACGGCAAUUUUGAGAAUUCUGGUGGUGAAAUGGACGAAGACAGGGAAAUGUUAUAUAAAGUCGAAGAGGGUAUGGAGAAGAAAGGCUUCAGCCAAAGGCCGCCAAUCAAUUUCCCUACCACAAAGCCAUUAGAAAAUAUAUCUGGGAAACGAAUAAAGAAUUACUCUAGCAAUACCUACAUUAGCGAUUUAUAUACAAGUUCUGCAUACAAAAUAGAUUACGUAGUCAAUAAAGUAUUUUUGGCACCAAUAAAAUUGGCGACCAUUCAAAUACCAGCAAGAAAGUCUUAUAUAAAUUUUAUAAAAGAUCCAGCGAACUCAACGGUCACUAAUAAAAUAAAAAUAAAUUCUGAUAAAAAUAAGCCAGAGAUCACACCUUUAAUGGAUGAAACAUCGGCGCUAAUGGGUGUUACGCAACAGCAGAAACAGCAAAUACGAGUAACAUCAGCAGUUCAUGCAACAAACAAACACCACGAAAAUCAAUAACCCCAACCAAUCAGCAAUAUACGCCAAUGGAAUGUAAUACACAGGACAAGUAUACUCUCCUCGGAUUAAAAUCAUAUGUACCAAACAAUACUAAUUUUAGAGGGACACCAUAAAUUUGUACAUAAAACGCGCUCUUUUAAAAACGCUAGUGCUCCAUUCACCCAUGAAAUAUGUACUGCCAUUCGUCUCUCUAUUUGUUGGAAAAACAUCAAACAAAAACAAAAACAUCGAUUGCACAAGCAAAAUUUUGAUUGUCGGGCUCAACAUGAAUAGUCCUAAUAGUUUUUGCGACCUGUGCCAUUAAUUUUUGUUAUACACUUAGCAUUCUUAUCGUAAAACUUAUUCUUGCAAAAUGUGGGAGAUAAAUAUACUUAAUUUUGAAUAUAGGAUAUUUUUUCUAUCGUAGAAAAGUUAACCUUUUUAAGUGCUCUCAUAAGGUAAAGGGUUUGGCAUUGUUGUUUUCUUUGAUUCUAUAAUACGAAACUCUUUCAAAAUGAAGUUAAGUCUCUCUAUUAUUUACUUUGAUCUACCACUUAGUCGCUAAACAAUCGCAUCAAUAUUUUUCAAAACAAAAAAUAGUUAACGUAUAUUGUUAGAUGCUCAUGAAACUUAACUUAAAGAAAAACGACAUUUGAUUUAAUAUACAUGUUUAAUAUAUACUUUAUAUACCCAUCCGAAUUAUUUCAGAUAUGAAAUUAAGACUCCAAUAAACAUAGCUCCAAUUAUUAUUUUUUUAGCUAAAAGCAAAAAACAAUAAUCCUUAGUAGCCUAAGUUCUUAAAGUAAUAUCCAUAUUUGUAUAUGUAUGUAUACCUAUGUAUAUCUCGGAAAUGUAACUUUUCUUUGAAUAUAAAAAUAACACCUCCUUUUGGAAAACCCUGUACUACAUCUGUUUGAGUGCUACCACUUACUGCAACGUAUCCACCGCAUCUUUCAAUUAUUUCUACCACUGGUGGCAUUAUGGACGUUGAGACGAACUGUAGUUCACAUUUUGGUAAGUUUUUGGUAUUUUACUGAACAACGGAAGUAAAAGUUUAACAAAACAUAAGAUUAACAUUGAAUUCACACGUACAUAUGAUGAUUGGGCACCGCAUUCUAUUUUGAUUGUUAUUAGUUUUCGGACACUCUUUCAUUCACUUGGAGCUCAUAUUAUAUUAUUAUGCUGCGUUAUGCGUUAUGUGUUAUGCGUACACAUACACACAAAUGUACAUGCAAACUAUUAACAAAAAAAGAUUUUACAAUCAAGUCGCUAAUUACAGGGAGUGGCCCAAGGUUAUCAGAAGUAUUAAACUAAGAAGUGAUCACAAUAUAGUGAAAGAACAUAUACUCUAUCAAAAAUCCAAAUUCGAUAUAACUAACUAUUGGCUAGAUUAAGUAUGUGCAUAUGAGCGUAAUGCAAAAAAUUAAGUUUAUUCCGAAGAUGAACGUGCUACGCGCUCUUAGUAUUCAAGGUAAGAGCGAACCAUACUCCAAUGGUACCUACAAUAAGUAUAUACAUCUAUCCAUCAUAUGAGAGAAGGACGAAAUGUCACUUAUACCAACCAUUUUGGUAGGUCCUAGUCAAAUUUUCAUGCAUGCAACGAGUAACCAGUGCCAGUUUGAGAGUAAUUGCGCAAAUGUGCCUAUGUUUGUUUCAACCUAUAGAUAGCCAUAAUAAUUAGGAGUAUUUUCAACU